AUUGAACGCUGGCGGCAGGCCUAACACAUGCAAGUCGAGCGAGCGGCGGACGGGUGAGAAAUGUGUGGGAAACUGUCCGUUGGAGGGGGAUAACUAUUGGAAAAGGUAGCUAAUACACCAUAUCAUCAGAUGUGCGCAGAUGGGAUUAGCUAGUAGGUGGGGUAACGGCUCACCUAGGCGACGAGCCCUAGCUGGUCUGAGAGGGUGACCAGCCACACUGGAACUGAGACACGGUCCAGACUCCUACGGGAGGCAGCAGUGGGGAAUAUUGCACAAUGGGCGCAAGCCGGAUGCAGCCAUGCCGCGUGUGUGAAGAAGGCCUUCGGGUUGUAAAGCACUUUCAGCGGGGAGGCGUUACCCGCAGAAGAAGCACCGGCUAACUCCGUGCCAGCAGCCGCGGUAAUAC
rnacentral:rRNA from 1 species